ensembl:lncRNA
CUGGUGUUGACUGACCUUAAAAUGACUGUUGCUCAGUUUAACUCUGAGUUCCUGGACAACAGUCAAAAAGAUGCCCAUGAGUUCCUCAGCUGUGUGCUGAAUAUGAUCAAGGAGCUGUCCUUUGAUCUGCAGGCAGAAGCAGCGAUCAUGGACAUCACCUACACCUGCCCUGUUGGUGCUCAUAUUUCAUUUGAAAUGUUGAGCACCAGGACCUGCCAGGGUUGUGGAUGUGAAUCCAUGAGAAAGGAGGAGUUCCUGAACCUCUCUUUGGAUCCGGUACCUGCAGGCUCAGUGAGCCAGUGUCUGCAGGAGUACCUGAAAGAGCGCAAGUUAGACUUCCAGUGUCCCUGUAGAGCUGGACAGUCGACGGAACGUCUCUCGUUUGUGACUUUGCCAAAUGUUCUGAUUCUCCAGCUAAAAAGAUUCACGUUCACCUCGACCUUCAGGCUGGAGAAGGUCAACACUCCUAUUCAACUGACCAGGGAGCUUGUGGUGAACCCAGAACACUCCCUCACUGCACAGACUGAGACUCGCUACUCUUUGGUGAGCAUCGUGAGUCAUUUGGGC